rnacentral:rRNA from 1 species
UACGGAGGAUGCGAGCGUUAUCCGGAUUUAUUGGGUUUAAAGGGUGCGUAGGCGGACUGUCAAGUCAGCGGUAAAAUUGAGAGGCUCAACCUCUUCCCGCCGUUGAAACUGGUGGUCUUGAGUGGUUGAGAAGUACGCGGAAUGCGUGGUGUAGCGGUGAAAUGCAUAGAUAUCACGCAGAACUCCGAUUGCGAAGGCAGCGUACCGGCAUCCAACUGACGCUGAGGCACGAAAGCGUGGGGAUCAAACAGG